rnacentral:rRNA from 1 species
ACGUAGGAGGCAAACGUUAUCCGGAUUUACUGGGCGUAAAGCGCGUGUAGGUGGUUCUGUAAGUAGGGCGUGAAAGCUCCUGGCUCAACUGGGAGAGGCCGUUCUAAACUGCAGAGCUAGAGGAUGGUAGAGGGAGGUGGAAUUCCGGGUGUAGCGGUGGAAUGCGCAGAUAUCCGGAGGAACACCAGUGGCGAAGGCGGCCUCCUGGGCCAUUACUGACGCUCAGGCGCGAAAGCGUGGGUAGCAAACAG